GUCUAAAGUCAACCAAAGAUUCCGCCUUCUGUAUUGUCCGCUUUCUAGGCACAGAUGUUGCCUGUUUGACUCCGGAUAGGUGGCGAAAAACACGGUUGUCUGGCGUUUGCACGAUUUCCUCCUUGAUUAAAAGCUAACAGACAUUCCUUGGAAAACCUUAAAGAAAAUUUGACUUUUAGAAUAGAAUAGAGCUGGAAGGGACCUUGGAGGUCUUCUAGUCCAUCCCCCUGCUCAAGUAGGAGAACCUAUACCAUUUCAGACAAGUGACUGUCUAAUCCAGGGGUCGGCAAUCUAAAACGGUGAAAGAGCCACUUGGACCCGUUUCCCUCACAAAAAAAAACAAAAGACAAAAAACUGGGAGCCGCAAAAUGUGCACAUAUGCGUGCGCAUGCGCACACACGUAACGGGGUCCGGAGGGUUCCCUCCUGCUUUCUGUCCUGCCCGCCCAGGUAGAGAGCCUGCGCCUCCUCUUCUCCUGCGGCCGGGGAAGGAGGGCCGGCCCUGGGCCUGUCCUGGAGGACUUUUUAGGCCCCGGAUGCCCCCCCCACCCUCUCCUCCGUCUGCUGGCACUGCAGCUCUGCAGCAAGAGGGAACCCUCAGGACCUUUGGUUUUCCUGGUUUGCCAACAAGGCUUGCAAACUCAGCUCCUGCCAGGGAAGCAGCACCUUUUGGGACGGACUCUGAGCAAUUGCAUGCUUCAGGGAAGGAGCACAGAGGCCUGCAAGCAAACAGGCAGGCAGGCAGAUGCUGGGCAGCAUGAAUCAAGCGGCGAGCAAAACCCCGAAACCUUUUGCGUUUGUUUGCAAAGAAGCAGUGAAAGCCGGUCCAGCUGGUCGUCGGGGUGCAGAACCGGGCCACGGGGGCCAAGCCUUACUCACCGGAAAUGCUGAAGCUUCCCACACCAACCGGAGCUGCCUUGGAUGAAACAGAGAGGCUGCGGCCCCUCCACGAUUUACCGUAGUUCCUCCCCAAUGGAGGUCACCCCUCCAGAGCGACUUUCAACCAUUUACAGGGUCUUCUGAAGAAAGAAAACCGGACGGCGGGGAGAACAGUCUCUCUGCACACCCACUAACGCCGGGAUCCGGAACAGGAAGCCAAUUCUUUGAUUUUCAAAGGCUACAAAUCGACUGGCAAAACAAAUGGCUGUAUUAGAGGGAAACCAUAGCUUAAUUGUCCGGUUUGAAAUGUCCUAAUUUCCCUCUGUCAGACUGGCUGUGAUGGAGAAGACAAUCGCUGAAUCUGAGAAGGAUGCCAAUCAAAAUAUAUCCAGUUAGCCAUUCUAAUUUUUAAACUGUGCCUAAUGAAUUGCUGUAUUUUCACAGAAUUUAGGACUAGGGCAGAUAGCAAUACAACAAUAAAUUAAGAAGCAGAAGCCUAACUACAGCUCACGUCAUCACAGGCAGAGAGUGGCGGGACUGAUGUGUGAUUGAAACUGAAAUUUUAAAUUUAUAAAUGAGGGAAGGGAAGCUGAGUAAAACAGAUUACUUAGAGAUGCAGAUUGCACAAGAUACAGAUUACAAGGUAACAAUCGUAUGUAUUAGAAACCCACUCUAUCACUGAGCAAGAGUUGGGUAAUGAGCUUUACAUUAUCUUUUUAUUAUUAAAUGCAUUCAUUAUUAAACUUAAUCACUGCC